CGGAGAAUGUUAUCACGGGAGACACACGGCGGGUGCUAACGUCCGUCGUGAAGAGGGAAACAACCCAGACCGCCAGCUAAGGUCCCAAAGUCAUGGUUAAGUGGGAAACGAUGUGGGAAGGCCCAGACAGCCAGGAUGUUGGCUUAGAAGCAGCCAUCAUUUAAAGAAAGCGUAAUAGCUCACUGGUCGAGUCGGCCUGCGCGGAAGAUGUAACGGGGCUAAACCAUGCACCGAAGCUGCGGCAGCGACGCUUAUGCGUUGUUGGGUAGGGGAGCGUUCUGUAAGCCUGCGAAGGUGUGCUGUGAGGCAUGCUGGAGGUAUCAGAAGUGCGAAUGCUGACAUAAGUAACGAUAAAGCGGGUGAAAAGCCCGCUCGCCGGAAGACCAAGGGUUCCUGUCCAACGUUAAUCGGGGCAGGGUGAGUCGACCCCUAAGGCGAGGCCGAAAGGCGUAGUCGAUGGGAAACAGGUUAAUAUUCCUGUACUUGGUGUUACUGCGAAGGGGGGACGGAGAAGGCUAUGUUGGCCGGGCGACGGUUGUCCCGGUUUAAGCGUGUAGGCUGGUUUUCCAGGCAAAUCCGGAAAAUCAAGGCUGAGGCGUGAUGACGAGGCACUACGGUGCUGAAGCAACAAAUGCCCUGCUUCCAGGAAAAGCCUCUAAGCAUCAGGUAACAUCAAAUCGUACCCCAAACCGACACAGGUGGUCAGGUAGAGAAUACCAAGGCGCUUGAGAGAACUCGGGUGAAGGAACUAGGCAAAAUGGUGCCGUAACUUCGGGAGAAGGCACGCUGAUAUGUAGGUGAAGUCCCUUGCGGAUGGAGCUGAAAUCAGUCGAAGAUACCAGCUGGCUGCAACUGUUUAUUAAAAACACAGCACUGUGCAAACACGAAAGUGGACGUAUACGGUGUGACGCCUGCCCGGUGCCGGAAGGUUAAUUGAUGGGGUCAGCGCAAGCGAAGCUCUUGAUCGAAGCCCCGGUAAACGGCGGCCGUAACUAUAACGGUCCUAAGGUAGCGAAAUUCCUUGUCGGGUAAGUUCCGACCUGCACGAAUGGCGUAAUGAUGGCCAGGCUGUCUCCACCCGAGACUCAGUGAAAUUGAACUCGCUGUGAAGAUGCAGUGUACCCGCGGCAAGACGGAAAGACCCCGUGAACCUUUACUAUAGCUUGACACUGAACAUUGAGCCUUGAUGUGUAGGAUAGGUGGGAGGCUUUGAAGUGUGGACGCCAGUCUGCAUGGAGCCGACCUUGAAAUACCACCCUUUAAUGUUUGAUGUUCUAACGUUGACCCGUAAUCCGGGUUGCGGACAGUGUCUGGUGGGUAGUUUGACUGGGGCGGUCUCCUCCUAAAGAGUAACGGAGGAGCACGAAGGUUGGCUAAUCCUGGUCGGACAUCAGGAGGUUAGUGCAAUGGCAUAAGCCAGCUUGACUGCGAGCGUGACGGCGCGAGCAGGUGCGAAAGCAGGUCAUAGUGAUCCGGUGGUUCUGAAUGGAAGGGCCAUCGCUCAACGGAUAAAAGGUACUCCGGGGAUAACAGGCUGAUACCGCCCAAGAGUUCAUAUCGACGGCGGUGUUUGGCACCUCGAUGUCGGCUCAUCACAUCCUGGGGCUGAAGUAGGUCCCAAGGGUAUGGCUGUUCGCCAUUUAAAGUGGUACGCGAGCUGGGUUUAGAACGUCGUGAGACAGUUCGGUCCCUA
rnacentral:rRNA from 1 species